CUGCAGCAUCCUCUGGGAGUAGCAGGAAAGAGCAGUUCCCUGACUGAACAGAAGGAAGGACAACGCAGAAGAAAGGACCCCAUCCCAGCUCUGCCCUGUGGGAGCUGGCUGACAGUCUCCGCAGCUGCUGUGACCUCCACUGGGCUCCUGUGCCUCGCAGCAUCCCCCUCUUCCACUGGAAGUUUGUCUUUCUGACUCUGUUCUGCCAUCCUCCCGCUUCUGCCUCCUCAGCUCUCUCACUAAACAUAGCCACAAAGAAACUGGCUGGAUGCAGGAGUGAAGGCCAAUAAAGAUGCUCAAGGUAGCUGUGGAGUCUUGAGUAACAAACCCUGUAUGAAACGUAGGGGAUUUUUUGUUGUUGUUUGUUUUUUUGUCUUUUUUUUUUUCUGCAUAGACAUCGAAAUAAAACCCUGAGG
rnacentral:lncRNA from 1 species